UUUAGGUGACAGGUUAGUUUUGAAUAGGUGUGAGGUUAGUUUUGAAUUUAAUAAAAGGGCAUCUAGUGCACUAAAGCUCCUGCUCUGCACAGGGUUUAUGGAAGAUACAUAGUCUUACCUUGCAUUUCUGCCAGAGGUUGUUUUCAAAGAUUUAACCCAUGACCUCCUGAUCACAUGGCAGCAACUUUACCAGUUAAUGAGAUCAUUAAAUAUGUUAACC
rnacentral:lncRNA from 1 species